AGGGUUUGAUCCUGGCUCAGAGUGAACGCUGGCGGCGUGGAUUAGGCAUGCAAGUCGAGCGAUCUGUUAUAUUGAAGUAGAGUGAGGCUUCGGCCGAUCUUUAUGGAAAUAUAGCUGAUAGCGGCAAACGGGUGAGUAAUGCGCGGGUAACGCACCUUAUGGAGGGGGACAGCUUCGGGAAAUCGGAGGUAAUACCCCAUAAUCUUUUAAGCCUGAAAUGGCUAUAAAGCAAAGAUGGCCUCUUACUUCGGUAAUGCUAUCACCGUAAGAGCGGCUCGCGUCUUAUCAGGUAGUUGGUAGGGUAACGGCCUACCAAGCCAAUGACGAGUAGCUGGCCUGAGAGGGUGGUCAGCCACAUCGGGACUGAGACACUGCCCGGACUCCUACGGGAGGCUGCAGUCGAGAAUAUUUCCCAAUGGACGAAAGUCUGAGGAUGCGACGCCGCGUGAGGGAUGAAGGUUUUCGGAUUGUAAACCUCUUUUAUUGUGGAGGAAAGUUCUGAUAGUGAAUAAUUAUCGGGAUUUGACUGUACUCAAUGAAUAAGCCACGGCUAACUCCGUGCCAGCAGCCGCGGUAAUACGGAGGUGGCGAGCGUUACUCGGUUUGACUGGGUGUAAAGGGUCCGCAGGCGGCCAAAUAAGUGACAGGUGAAAUCUCUCAGCUCAACUGAGAAACUGCCUUUCAAACUGUUUGGCUCGAGGCCGGAAAGGGAGAGCGGAACUGCCGGAGUAAAGGUGAAAUUUGUGGAUAUCGGCAGGAACGCCCGUGGAGAAGUCGGCUCUCUGGUCCGGCUCUGACGCUCAGGGACGAAAGCUAGGGGAGCGAACAGGAUUAGAUACCCUGGUAGUCCUAGCUGUAAACGAUGGGCACUAGGUGUUCGUUCUUUUAGAAUGAGUGCCGCAGAUAACUCGUUAAGUGCCCCACCUGGGGACUACGGCCGCAAGGCUAAAACUCAAAGGAAUUGACGGGGGCCCGCACAAGCGGUGGAACAUGUGGUUUAAUUCGAUGCUACGCGAGGAACCUUAUCCAGGGCUUGACAUGUUGGAAGUAAUCCUGAUGAAAGUCGGGAUGACUGGUAACCAGUCCAGAACCAUCACAGGUGCUGCAUGGCUGUCGUCAGCUCGUGCCGUGAGGUGUUCCCUUAAGUGGGAGAACGAGCGCAACCCUCGCCCUUUGUUGCCACCCGUUUAGCUUUUAGUUAAACGGAGCACUCUAAGGGGACUGCCCGCGUUAAAGUGGGAGGAAGGUGAGGAUGACGUCAAGUCCGCAUGGCCUUUACGCCCUGGGCUACACACGUGUUACAAUGCCUGUUACAAUGGGGGGCCAACCCGUAAGGGGGAGCAAAUCCAUCAAAAACAGGCUCAGUUCGGAUCGAGGGCUGCAAUUCGCCCUCGUGAAGCUGGAAUCGCUAGUAAUGGCGCAUCAGCAACGGCGCCGUGAAUACGUUCCCGGGCCUUGUACACACCGCCCGUCAAGCGCUGAAAGUGGGGAGCACCCGAAUCCCUAAUUUAUUAAGGCCACGGUGAAUUCCAUGAUUGGCGCUAAGUCGUAACAAGGUA
rnacentral:rRNA from 1 species